ensembl:lncRNA ERLNC1 estrogen receptor responsive lncRNA 1
AGCCAGGCCAGCUCCCGUUCCAACACCUCUACCUUAGGGACAUCUGCAGAAAGGCUGGGCAGUGGCAAAAAAGGUAGCCAGUGAAAGGAGGGCUGAUAGACAGGUGCUUGGCCUCAAGAGCCCUGAAUCUGAGCCUCAUCACUCCCUCUGUCUUACUGCAGGGGGCCUUGGAAAAAUGGCCAAUCUCUUAGACCCUCACUUUUAUCAUCUGUAAAAUGGCACUGAGGCGUCCUGUCCUUCUGACUCCUCUGGUUAUGCUAGGAAGCUGAUAAAGACAUGGGCGUCAAAGCAUGAGGCAGAGCAUAAAAGUCACUGACUGAGGGCAUCCCUGCUACUUUGUGAAAGGAACAGGAGGGUAAGGAAGGAGACACAGGGAAAGGACAAGGCAGGUGAGAACGAGUGUCCAGACCUGGGGAUUCCAGACUAAGAACAAGGGCAACAGGAGCAGUGGGGAGAGAUGCAAAACAGACCUGAUCUUAGGAUGCUGGGAAAACUCCCCAGGAGGCGGUGCAGCUCCCUAAGUCGAGCUGACUCCCACAAAGAUCCUCCCCAGGAGGAAGAGUAGUGCCCUGGCAGGGAGCUGGAGCAAUGGAGCUCUCUUGAGGAGGCAGAGGGUAGCAAGAGCACAUAGAGAAGGAUGAGGAUGAGACCGGCCCUCUCUCACCUUCCCACAGGACAGACCGAUCACUCCCUCACCCAGCCCAGGGGCCAGAACACGAGAAAGAGUAUUCAGUGACUGAGGCACUCCUCUGCCCCCUCUGGAGAAGGAAGAGAGGACAGGGUCCCUUCCAGGCUUUGAGAAGGUCAAAGCUCAAGAAGAUCUGAGGUUAUCUAGUCCAGCCCCAUUGGGAAACUGAGGCUCAAGGAAGGAAAGAGCCUCCCUCCAAGCCUCCAGAUACCUCUUGCACUGCUGGAUCCUUUACUUCUUCAUUUAAGGAAAGCAGUCCUUGGCCCGUCCAAGGAUCCAAAUCGAACGGAGUCUCCUAAUUGUGAGGACUGUGCACUCUCUCUGAAGGCCUGGGUGCCCCUCAGAGGUUCUGCAAAGGCCUCUCUGAGUCCAGGGAGUCUGCUGGGAGAGGUGAUAUGGGGGAGGCCUCCCCCAUGCUUCCUGGAGUUUAUCUGUGCCGACAGGUCUGCGUAAGAUGUGUUUCAGUCCUGGCUCUCCUUAAGAAGCUACCUUUUAAGAUUCCUUUUUUUUUUUUCUUGGACUGAGACCAUCAAAAGGGAAGAAUUAGGAGGGUUCCUUUGGUUUGCUCAGGUCCCGGCCUGAAAAACAUGGCUCUGACAUCCAA